AGAAUUUGAUCCUGGCUCAGGAUGAACGCUGGCGGCGUGCUUAACACAUGCAAGUCGAACGAAGCACUUUAUUUGAUUUCCUUCGGGACUGAUUAUUUUGUGACUGAGUGGCGGACGGGUGAGUAACGCGUGGGUAACCUGCCUUGUACAGGGGGAUAACAGUUGGAAACGGCUGCUAAUACCGCAUAAGCGCACAGCAUCGCAUGAUGCAGCGUGAAAAACUCCGGUGGUAUAAGAUGGACUCGCGUUGGAUUACACUAGUUGGUGAGGUAUCGGCCCACCAAGUGCGACGAUCCAUAACCGGCGUGAGAAGGUGGCCGGCCACAUUGGGAAUUAAACCCGGCCCCAAAUUCUUCGGGAAGCAACAAUGGGGAAUUUUGCACAAUGGGGGAAAGCCUGAUGCAAGGACGCCGGGUGAGCGAAGAAAUACUUUGGUAUGUAAAGCUGUAUCAACCAGGAAAAUAUCAACGGUACACGAGUAAGAAGCACCCGGUAUAUAUGUGCCAGCACACGCGGUAUUAUGUAGAGAGCAAGAGUUGUCUGGAUUUCAUGGGUGUAAAAGGGGCGUAGAGCGGACCGGCAAGUCAGAAGUGUAAAUCCAUGGGGUUCAACCCCCAAGAAGCCCCGAAAACGUUAGUGGUGAGUGUAGUAGAGGUAAGGGUAAUUCACCCUGUAUAGGUGUAAUAUGUACAGAUAUGGAGGAACACCACUGUGGAAGAGGCCCUCCUUGUGGUCUGAGAUCACGCUGAGACACGAAAAAGUGGGUAGCAAAAACAAUAUUAUACACCUGUUAAUUCACCCCGU
rnacentral:rRNA from 1 species